rfam:Erinaceus europaeus unplaced genomic scaffold scaffold00159, whole genome shotgun sequence
UAGUGCCCAAUGUGGGGCCCGAGGCACGGGGGAUCCAGUGAGGAACGCCAUUCAUCAGAAAAAAGGACUGCAGUCGUUUCAUUAAUCAAGACGUCGCCGCGAACACACCGGUUCGAAGGAGAGACCUGGAAGGUAAGCGGACGGUGAUAUCACAGGACAAAAAAUCAGUGCACAAGAUAAAGACUCACUCAAGGCACGAGGAGUAAGGGUUAAGAAAAAAGAUCUUACUCAUUUUUUCCUUUUCCUUAGAGAUAUUUGCCUUU